rnacentral:rRNA from 1 species
GAUGAACGCUAGCGGCAGGCUUAACACAUGCAAGUCGAGGGGUAUAGGAAGCUUGCUUCCUAGAGACCGGCGCACGGGUGCGUAACGCGUAUGCAACCUACCUUUUACAGAGGGAUAGCCCAGAGAAAUUUGGAUUAAUACCUCAUAGUAUAUGUUUUUCGCAUGUUAGACAUAUUAAAGUAACAACGGUAAAAGAUGGGCAUGCGUCCUAUUAGCUAGAUGGUAAGGUAACGGCUUACCAUGGCAACGAUAGGUAGGGGUCCUGAGAGGGAGAUCCCCCACACUGGUACUGAGACACGGACCAGACUCCUACGGGAGGCAGCAGUGAGGAAUAUUGGACAAUGGGCGCAAGCCUGAUCCAGCCAUGCCGCGUGCAGGAAGAAGCAUCUAUGGUGUGUAAACUGCUUUUGUACGGGAAGAAACACUCCCUCGUGAGGGAGCUUGACGGUACCGUAAGAAUAAGGAUCGGCUAACUCCGUGCCAGCCGCCGCGGUAAUAC